GACGAACGCUGGCGGCGUGCUUAACACAUGCAAGUCGUACGGUAAGGCACUUUCGGGGGUACACGAGUGGCGAACGGGUGAGUAACACGUGAGUAACCUGCCCACAACUUUGGGAUAACGCUAGGAAACUGGUGCUAAUACUGGAUAUGUGCUCCUGCUGCAUGGGGGGGGUUGGAAAGCUCCGGCGGUUGUGGAUGGACUCGCGGCCUAUCAGCUUGUUGGUGGGGUAGUGGCCUACCAAGGCGGCGAGGGGUAGCCGGCCAGAGAGGGUGACCGGCCGCAUUGGGACUGAGAGACGGCCCAGAUGCCGACUGGAGGCAGCAGUGGGGAAGAUUGCACAAUGGGCGCCAGCCUGAUGCAGAAACGCCGCGGGCGGGAUGACGGCCUUCGGGUUGUAAACCGCUUUCAGCAGGGACGAAGCUUUUUGUGACGGUACCUGCAGAAGAAGCACCGGCUAACUACGUG
rnacentral:rRNA from 1 species